rnacentral:tRNA from 1 species
UGGCCUAUGGUGUAAUUGGCAACACACCGGUUUUUGGUACCGACAUUCCAGGUUCGAGUCCUGGUAGGCCAA